UUUAAAACAAUUGCUGAUCUAGAAAUGUCAUAGCAACCAUUUUAUUUUGUAUUUUCGACACAACCUAAUAAGUAUCUUUUAAUUUUUAAACAUACAUAGAACUAGAACUUUUUAACUGACACUUGCAACAGCUGAAGAAACUUUACAAGAACAGCUUUCAGGAACCAGGAUCUCCUUCUCGACCAGUUUUUCAAAAGAGGUCCUCUGCACGUAGAAGAGCCUCAUGUUGUUUACCGUGUCGAGCUCCUGGUCGAGUAGGUCGUCUUCUAAGUAGGAAGACAAUUUGUCUUCCAACUCGUCCGCGCUGGCCAUCAUGUCCUCGAAGUAAUGGCCAGACGCGAGGCCGAAGACCCGCGUGACGGUGUUUUUGACCCACUCCCUCCGAAAGUCGGUCCCCAUUUUCACUUUUUGUAAUUUUCCAAAUUAAAAUGCCCGAAUGAACAGAUUAAAAAAGACCGUAUAAAAAAAGUUAUGAGUUGUUUUUGUGGUUUUUGCAAAAAAAAUAAAAAUAUUUUCGAUAUG